CCGACGGCCGUCUCCUACCCACAGUACCUCGCGCCUAUCCCCUCCCCCCGCCACCCGCCUCCUGCGGAGGAGUCCAAUCCUAGAAGACACCUGGCUGCGCGAGGUCUGCCGGGAAAUGUGGUCGCAGGCAAUCUGGUCACUUAGGACGCUCUGUGUUAAUUUCUUGCGCAAUUCUCUUCUAAAUCACCAGAGUUGUCAAUCGGCUUUUGCGGACCCGGAUUAGAGUUUUUAGGGUUCCUCUCUAUUAAGCAUGGGUACACAGACUACCAAGAUUUGGCCCUGUUCACAAGAAAGGUCUCAAAAGUUAUGUCAAGAGAUGCUUAAAUGACACUGAAGAGACCUCAACCAUGAAUGUAGCAACAGUGGAUGUCUGCUAUAGAAAUACAGUAGAAGGAACAUAAAUUCUGAAGGGGCAUCACUGAAAAUUACAGGAAUUUCAACAGGAAGAUACAUCUGAAUUGGAUCUCGAAAUGGGGAGUUUGUGAAAUAGAAAGUGUGAAAGAAAAGGAGGACACAAGCAAGGAGCCACGAAAGACAAUUUGUCCAAGAGAGGAGUAGUAGAAACUGACAAAGGCUGGAGUGCAAUGGCGCGAUCUGGGCUCACUACAACCUCUACCUCCUGGGUUCAAGCAAUUCUACUGCCUCAGCCUCCCGAGUAGGUGGGACUACAGGUGAGUGCCACCACGUCCAGCUAAGUUUUGUAUUUUUAGUAGAGACUGUAUUCCACCAUGUUGGCCAGGAUGGUCUCAAUCUCUUGACCUCAUGAUCCACCCCGUGCCUCAGCCUUCCUAAAUGCUGGGAUUAUAGGAGUGAGCCACUGUGCCUGACCUAUGUAGGCUUUAAUAUCUUAAUUUUACAAAUGAUUGGGACUACAGUUAGAUAAGUGGGUGAAGCAGAGUCCAAAUAUUAAACAAGUAUGACUCUUAAGUUCUUAAAAACACAUUCUCUUCUCUUUUCUGUAUCUCUAAACAACUAACAGUGUUAGAAGGAAAAAAAAAGAUGUUAUGAAUUGAACAAAUUCAUCCAUUUUCACUAAUGCAUAACUAAUAUCAAGGUAGGUGUGAUCUCAGCUUACUGUAACCUCCGCCUCUCAGGUUCAAGUGAUUCUCCUGCCUCAGCCUCCCGAGGAGCUGGGACCAUAGGUGUGUGCCACCAUGCCUGGCUAAUUUUUGUAUUUUUAGUAUAGACAGAGUUUCAUCAUGUUGGCCAGGCUGGUCCUGAACUCCUCUAAAGUGAUCCAACUGCCUUGGCCUCUCAAAGUGCUGGAAUUACAGGCUUGAGUCACCACACUGUUAGAUAUAUAUAUAUAUUUUUGAGACAAGGUCUGGUUCCAUUGUCCAUGCUAGAGUGUAGUGGUGCAAUCACAGCUCACUGCAAUCUCCUGGGCUCUCAAGUAAUCCACUUGCCUCAGUCUCCCGAGUAGCCUGGACUACAGGCAUGUGCCACCAUAGCCAGCUUUUUUUUUUUUGUAUUUUUGGCCUGUCUUGGCCUCCCAAAGUGCUCAGAUUACAGACAUCAACCCUGCCUAAUAAUUUGAUUUUGUAUUAGAUGUAAAAAGGUUUAUUAUCUCUGAUUCUGAAAAUGUGCCAUAAGGAAGCAAUUUAAAAGAAGAAAAUAAAAUGCUAAAUGCUACAUAUUAUGACAGUAUAAGAUUAGAAAGAGGUGAGCAAAGUGGGUCAUGCCUGUAACUGAAGCACUUUGGGAGAAUGAGGCAGGAGGAUUACUUAAGUCCAGAAGUUUGAGACCAGGUCAAUCUAGUGAGAUCCUGACUCUACAAAAUUUUUGCUCUACAAAAAAGCAAAAAUUAGCUGGUCAUGGUGGCUCAUGCCUGUAGUCCCCAUUACUUGGGAGGCUGAGGUGGGGGGAUUGCGUAAGCACAGGAGUUUGAGGUUAUAGUAUGCUAUGAUCAUGCCACUGCACUCUAACCUGGGAGACAGAGGAAGAUCUUGUCUCGAAAAGAAAAGAAAAAGAAAAGAUUAGAAAGAGAAGACAAAUAAUGCAGGAGAGAUGAAGACAAUGAAGGUAUAGUUAUACUGUGAAUUUUUACCACGCAGGCAUUAAAAAUAAUAGAGUAUUAUAGAACCAUGGAGAAAAUACUUAUGAUAAAAAGUGA